AUUGAACGCUGGCGGCAUGCCUUACACAUGCAAGUCGAACGGUAACGCGGGGCAACCUGGCGACGAGUGGCGAACGGGUGAGUAAUGCAUCGGAACGUGCCCAGUAGUGGGGGAUAGCCCGGCGAAAGCCGGAUUAAUACCGCAUACGACCUACGGGUGAAAGGGGGGGAUCGCAAGACCUCUCGCUAUUGGAGCGGCCGAUGUCAGAUUAGGUAGUUGGUGGGGUAAAGGCCUACCAAGCCUACGAUCUGUAGCUGGUCUGAGAGGACGACCAGCCACACUGGGACGGAGACACGGCCCAGACUCCUACGGGAGGCAGCAGUGGGGAAUUUUGGACAAUGGGCGCAAGCCUGAUCCAGCCAUGCCGCGUGCGGGAAGAAGGCCUUCGGGUUGUAAACCGCUUUUGUCAGGGAAGAAACGCUCUGGGAUAAUACCCUGGGGUAAUGACGGUACCUGAAGAAUAAGCACCGGCUAACUACGUGCCAGCAGCCGCAGUAAAAC
rnacentral:rRNA from 1 species